AUGCAGCUCAGUGACAUCAUUCCCCAGGCAGCCCCCCAGCAAACACAGUCUGUCAUGAUCCCUCAGCGGACUAUUGUCCAUCAACAACAGAUAGGGAUGGAUCCCCAGACCACCGGCCUUCAGCAAAUGGAGGCCCAGGCCACUCUGCCCCAACAACAAGUUAUUGCGAGUCAGCCGGCGACGGAACAUCACCCACAGAGCCUUUCAGCUACGGCUGUCCAGAACCAUCAACAUGAGCCUCAGCAGCAGAUCUACGUACCGAGGCCCGUUCCACCUGUCCACACAAGUCUUCAGCAGCAGGUAUCACCUAUACACGCAGGGAUGGAGCAGCCAUGUCGAGCCAUGUCAAUGCCAAAGGAAGGGGAGCAGUGUCAGACCUACAAACAACAACCGACCGGCGGUCCUCGUGAACAGACCAUGAUACAACCGCAAGUCCAACAACAACAGAUUCAGCAAGCUCUGUUACAACAGCAACAAGCUUUCCUGCUCGAGCAACAUCAGAAAGUACUACUUCAACAGCAGCAACAACAGGCCCAAUUACAACAACAACAACAACUGGAGCAGCAGCAAGCCCUUUUAAACAAGAAAUUCAUGGAUCAACAACAGCAGCAGGCUCUUAUACAGCAGCAACAAGAGAAGCAGCAGCAGCAACAGCAAGGUCUUCUACAACAACAACAACCUCAACAAGCACUUUUACAGCAUCUGUUAGAGCAGCAACAACAGCAGCCUUCUUCACAGCAAAAGCAGCAGAAUCAGUUGUAUCAACAACUUGGACAGAACCACAGUGGAAUACAAAUGGAACCAGAUAAACAACAGAAAAGUGGACAACAGCAGCAACAAAUUGUGUUACAGCAACAAGCCCAACAGUCUCAACAGCAAGCAGAACAAUUGCAUCAGCAAGUCUUGCUCCGACAAAGGGAACAACAACAGCAACAAGCACUAAUACAACAACAUCUUCAACAGCAAGCUAUUUUACAACAGCAUCAACUACAACAGAAAGCUCAGCUACAGCAGCAGCAACAUGAGCAGCAACAAGUGCAACUCAAACAGCAGAUAGAGCAGCAACAGCACGCUCUGUUGCAACAACAGUUUGAGCAACAGCGUCAGCAACAAGUGCUGUUACAACAUCAGCAAGCAGAAAGGUUACAGCAACAGGCUCUGAUACAGCAACAGAUGCAAGAGCAACAGCAACAAGCCGCCAUUGCGCAACUUCAGCAAACUGAGAAGCAAGAGCCUGUCCCUAUUCCACAAAGUAACAGUAAGCAGCAGAUUCAGCAGCAACCAACUGAUGUGCAGCACGCGAGCAUCCCAAAACUAAACGCCUCUCAGUUUGCACCUCAUACCGCUCUGACACAGCAGCAAGUAAUGGAGCAACAUCAGCAAGCAGCGUUGAUCCAGCAGCAUCACACCACCGUGAUGGAACCUCAGUUGCAGGCCAGCAUUGAGGUGAGUCCGCAGCAAACUCAAAUGCCCACACAGGCCCCAGUCCCCAUGGCUAUUCAGACGACGCACAUCCCUCUUCAGACAGCUGCUGUGGUCUCAGCUCAGGUCCUUACCCAGCAAGGACAAAGUGAGGCUCAUCCCCACAACCAGGUCCCACUCCAGUUUAUAGCCCAGUCCACAGUCCAAUCAGCUCAGGCUGUGAUUGAGGCUCAAGGAUCUCCUCCUACGGCAGUGAUCCAGCAACAGACCCGCAUCAUCCAGACCCAGCAAAUUCCUCUACAGACCAGUUACCCAGGACCUGCCGCACUCACGCAGAGGCAGGUAACUGCUCAGCCGUUACCUGCCUCUGCGACUCCGCCUCCGGAACUCACAACCGGCCAGUCCCAGCCUCCACUUUGCCAGGGCCCAUCUGUGGACAUUCAAAUGAUGGGCCUGCAAAACCAAGCGCCGGUUCAGCCUCCAGCUGCCAUCACUCCAAUUCCCAGUAAGAUCCAAUAUGAAACUCUUGUUCAUGCUCAAAUGCCAGGCCCCUUGCACCCCCAGAUCCAGCAACAGACUCAAUGCCAUGUACCUAGGCAGAUGCAGGCUCAGGCUAACGCUGGCCCUUUGACCCCUCAGUUUAUCUCUCAGCCUACCCACCAAGCCAUGCAACAGGAUGCGACUCAUUUUAUUCAACAGCAGCAGCCACAAGAGCAACUUCUGCAGUCUCAUCUGGGGAUUCUGUCUUCUGGCUCCGCCGGAAGCGUUGGAACAACGACAGAUUGUCUGAAUUCAGCAGGAGGCCCUGUAAACUUUGUUGCCAUUCCUCAUCCUUUGUCGCAAGCUGGCCAAGCUUAUGUUCAAGGCCAAACAAUGCUGCAUCCAGUUAUUCAGGCCCAGCAGCAGCCCCCAGGAGGCGCUGCCGAACCGUCAGUCAUUCAACCCAUGGCCCUGCCUCCGAUGCCGCAGUCUACUGUGCAAUACCAACAGAAGCUUUCUCAAGCGCCGCAGCCACUCGCUCCACCUCCUGCACAGGCCCAGUUACCGGCACAGCCCAUCCAAACCCGCAUCCAGCAGCCUCUUCCUAUAAAGCAGUCGCCGAUAGCCUUUGACGAGGGUCAGCUGCUCUCACAGUGUCCACCCGCCUUCCACCUGAUGACUAAUCGUCCUGCUCAAAUAGCGGCAGGCGCGUCUUCAUCUGUGCAGCACCAAGCCAAGCAGAUGCUGCCUGCUCACACACACUCCCAAACCAGCAUUCAGGAGCAAUCAAACUCCCAAACACAGAAACACACUCAGACACACACCGAGACAACUAUUGCUGAACAGCCUGUGCUACCCCUCGCCGUCUCUUUCGCACAACAAAUGCCCAUCAACCCGUCACAUAACUCAUGUCCCCCGACAUCCCUAGCAUUUCUCCCAUUCCCUUCAUCCCGCCAUCCCAACGCUUCUCCUGCGCCAGAGCUGCCUACUUCUCCUCCAGCGGCCCAGGUAACCUUACCCGGGCAGGCCGCCUUUAUACCCGCCUCCCCUCCACCUGUCACUGCUCUACAACCGCUUGACUCUAACGCCCCCAAACUGCCCCAAGCCUCGCUGCAAGACUGUGACCUUUCGCUGCUGGGCAUUGCUCAGGUACAGGAACAACACAUGCUGGCUGUAUUACUAAGGAAAUUAUUCUUCUUUGCUGAUAUACUGGCAGAAUGA
ensembl:lncRNA